rnacentral:rRNA from 1 species
AUGCACGCUGGCGGCUUGCCUAAUCCCUGCCAGUCGCGCGAACAGACGAGGAGCUUGCUCCUCUGACGUUAGCGGCGGACGGGUGAGUAACACGUGGCUAACCUACCUAUAAGACUGGGAUAACUUCGGGAAACCGGCGCUAAUACCGGAUAAUAUAUUGAACCGCAUGAUUCCAUAGUGAAAGACGGCUUUGCUGUCACUUAUAGAUGGAUCCGCGCCGCAUUAGCUAGUUGGUAAGGUAACGGCUUACCAAGGCAACGAUGCGUAGCCGACCUGAGAGGGUGAUCGGCCACACUGGAACUGAGACACGGUCCAGACUCCUACGGGAGGCAGCAGUAGGGAAUCUUCCGCAAUGGGCGAAAGCCUGACGGAGCAACGCCGCGUGAGUGAUGAAGGUCUUCGGAUCGUAAAACUCUGUUAUUAGGGAAGAACAAAUGUGUAAGUAACUAUGCACGUCUUGACGGUACCUAAUCAGAAAGCCACGGCUAACUACGUG